CUCCCUUUUAACCAUACUUGGGCAGUCCCAAAUGACCAAGCUAUGCCAGUAUGGUGAAGAAGCUCACUAUUUUGUAUUUAAUGUGUGUGUGUCUAUGCAUUUCUGUGAAUAGAUGUGAGUCUGGGCAGCCUGUGCAUUUAUCUCUGUGUUGGGCCAUGCCCCUGUGUUUGUAUUGUUUCACAGGUCUGUGUGCCAGGCACCAGGAUGGGUGAGUGAGGUACACCACACAUCACAGGGAUUGGAGCCUAUCUUUCCAGGUAGCAGGAGGGUUCAUAGUCUUCCAAGUCUUCAUUUCCUGGGCUGUAGGCAGAAGAAUGACCACCCCAGAGAAUGCCACAUUCUAAUCCUUGGAACCUGUUGUCAUAAACCAGGGGGAACUCAGGUUGCAUGUGAAGAAAACUUGAAGCAGACAGAGGAGGAAAAGAAUAUAAACAGUGCCUCUGAGCACACACACCACCCCUGAUGAGCCUGGAGUUACUCUAGAUCUGAUGACCAUGCUGAAAAGUGAAGAAACAGUCACAGAGGUCACUGGCACACAGUUUCAACAUCAAGAAGUUACCUGGCCCCAGAGGAAAUGCAUCCCCAGGAAGGAGCAUAAUGGAGUCUGCUCCCGCCUCGCCUCUCUGUAGCUGGGUGAACUUUAAGCUUGGUAAGCCUCCGGGUAGAAGGGAGCUAAUGACAAACCACCUUGCCUGCCUCACAGAACCCUAACAGAAACAGGCGACACGCCUAGCUGUGCCUUGCAAACUGUGACACGCUGAGUGAAUGGCCGUGGCUGUAUGAACGGCACUGAGCUGCCGGCCUCUACAGGACAGAAAAUUUCACUGUGGAGACCAGAGCUAUGUGUCCCUGGGUCAUGAACGCCUUUGCUGAGAGAGCUGGUCCACUACAUCAUCACGGGCCAACCUAGAACUCUCUAGAGUCUACACUUCCCAGAGUGUGACAUUCAUCCAAAGGGACAAUCAGAGACAGCUGGUGAUGGGAAAAGCCAUGCUCUAGCUGAGUGACCUUGGGUAAGUCAUGUGCUCUCUCCGAGCCUUAGUUAAGCUUUCUGGGCGAGAGGAGGACCUGCUUUGUGCUAUCGUAGGGAGUAAAUGGGACCUCACACUUACCAUGCAGUAUGACUUCAACGAGUGAUGGCUUCAUUUUAUCCCCCUGGGCCUCCAAAUCCCCAUCCAAUGGCUGCCCCUUUGACAAAGCUGCCGUGCAGAUGAAGGGAGAUGUGUUUGAGUAAGCAAGCAAGCAUGAGAUGAAGCCAUUGUGGACUCCAUGGGGCAAAACCAAGGUUUGUUUAUCCCCAGCAAAGGCUCGGUUCGCUGCAGUGCCUGGUGCACUCGGGUGCAUUCAGAGGACCCAAGUUUGUAUCCCCUGCAAGUACAUCAGGUGCUCACAAGAACCUAUAACUCCAGCUCCAGAGGGAUCCAAAUCCUCUAACCUUUGUACAUAUCUAUACAAAGACA